ACACCGGGAACCCGGGCUAAUACCGCAUACGUCCUACGGGAGAAAGCGGGCCUCUACACUAUGCUCGCACUCGAGGAUGAGCCCACGUCCGAUUAGCUAGUUGGUAGGGUAACGGCCUACCAAGGCCACGAUCGGUAGCUGGUCUGAGAGGAUGAUCAGCCACACUGGGACUGAGACACGGCCCAGACUCCUACGGGAGGCAGCAGUGGGGAAUAUUGGACAAUGGGCGCAAGCCUGAUCCAGCAAUGCCGCGUGUGUGAAGAAGGCCUGCGGGUUGUAAAGCACUUUCAGUGGGGAAGAACGGAUACGGGCCAAUACCCCGCAUCACUGACGUUACCCACAGAAGAAGCACCGGCUAACUCCGUG
rnacentral:rRNA from 1 species